UCCCUGGUGGCUCAGAUGGUAAAGCGUCUGCCUGCAACGCUGGAGACCUGGGUUUGAUCCCUGGGUCGGGAA
rfam:Ovis aries breed Texel chromosome 2, whole genome shotgun sequence.